rnacentral:rRNA from 1 species
CCUACGGGGGGCUGCAGUGGGGAAUAUUGGACAAUGGGGGGAACCCUGAUCCAGCCAUGCCGCGUGUGUGAAGAAGGCCCUCGGGUUGUAAAGCACUUUCAGUGAGGAAGAACGCCUGGUGGUUAAUACCCAUCAGGAAAGACAUCACUCACAGAAGAAGCACCGGCUAACUCCGUGCCAGCAGCCGCGGUAAUACGGAGGGUGCGAGCGUUAAUCGGAAUUACUGGGCGUAAAGCGCGCGUAGGUGGCUUGAUAAGCCGGUUGAGAAAGCCCCGGGCUCAACCUGGGAACGGCAUCCGGAACUGUCAAGCUAGAGUGCAGGAGAGGAAGGUAGAAUUCCCGGUGUAGCGGUGAAAUGCGUAGAGAUCGGGAGGAAUACCAGUGGCGAAGGCGGCCUUCUGGACUGACACUGACACUGAGGUGCGAAAGCGUGGGUAGCAAACAGGAUUAGAUACCCUGGUAGUC